AGCCGUGGUUGUGACCUUAUUGCUGAGUUUAGAUCCUGUAGUGCUUCAUGAAGAUGAUCGCACAACACAUCAGGGGCACAACGAUGGUGAUUUCUUAUGCUGUCUGCAAGCUCCUGUAGAACCUUGGUCACCUCUCGUGCAACUCUAGUGCAUGGGGUUCGAAAUAGUGAUCUGACGGAUGUCGGAGUCUUCAACAUCGAUAAAUAUAACUUUGUGAGCACAGGUUAUUUACAGAAAGAUGGUUUUGCUUGAAAUAAUAUUGAUAUGUCAGCGACAGUAUAUGCGAAGUGUCUAAGCACAGAUCCGAGCUUCACAUACUUUUGCCAUGGGUAACUGUAACACUGCAUUGAGUGUCUUGGCUCCCAGCUUGCAUAGUGUGCCUGGCCAAUUGUUAUUAUUUGAGGGCAUAUACUUUUUGAAAUAAGAGACAUCCAUGACAUCAAUCUGAUAAAAACAAUUGCACGGAGAAAAGGAUAAGAAGAUUGAAGCAUCAAAUGAUGAUUUAAUUACCAGGGACUCGUCACUUGAUUUUGAGUCUAGUACUUCUCUAUACCCAGUAUGAAUGGAAGCUCUCGAUGUCUGCUUAUCAAGAAUGUUAUCAUGCUUCUCUUGAUCUCGGAAAUACUCAUUCACACAACCUGCAAUUUUUCUUUGUGCGGCUGUGGAGGUCCUCUCCCGACCAGUUUGGCAACACAAAGAGGCUCAUAAAGAGGCAUAUGGCACACCCUAUGGCAAUUGUACUCAAGCGAUCUCGUGCUAAAGGCAGUAUGUUCUCCUGGCGGAAGCUUGAGACCGUUAUCAGAUUGAAGGUUAGCAAAAAAAUCACCACACCAUAAUCAUAAUUCUUCUUAAUGGAUGGGAAGAAUCUCAAAUAUGUUGCCGCGAAUCCUGUCAUUGAAAAUGCUACGGCAUAAGAUACUAUUAAUUUGGCCAUCCUAAAUUCCAAUUUUACAAGGUACAUACCUAUCAGAAAUACUGAAGAUGCCACAAAGAAACCGCGGAAAACUUUUCCAGAUCUUACUGCUACAAGUUCAAUGAUAAAUGCUAGAGAUGCCGCUAUGACUGUUCCGAACCCUCUAUUCAGACCUUUGCAUAUGGUUGCACCUGUUGAUCAGCACUCACUUGUUAGAAACCGAAGAACUACAUCCACAAAUACCAUAUUAUAAUCAAUAUGAUGCUAGUAGAUUACCUGCGGUAAAUUCGAGCACAACAACAACCGUCAUGACAGCCCACAUUGCAUUCUUUCCCACUCCUUUGAACAACGGUUCUAGUAUAUACAAGAGCGAGACUAGUGUGAGAGCUGUCCCAACCUUGAGAGCAUGAAUGGCUCUCCUUUGAUCUUCUCUUCCAAUACUCCAUGCGUACGCCCACCACGAAGCAGGAAUCCUGGUGAUCUUCUUCACUCUCUCAGGAAGCAUCAGCAAGCUGUUCUUGUUGCUGCUGGGAUCUACAGCACAAGCCAUUCUUGCAGCCUGGGCUCAAGAUGAAUGCUCAGGUUCCUUGGAAGAUGGCAAUGCUACCAACAGUGUAGGUGUCCCAAAUAUCAGGAAGGGAGAGGACGCCACCUUCGUCCCGUUUGUUGAGCAACUCGCCGAGUCACAGGACGAUACGCACUUCUCCUUUUCCUGACGCUGAUACGUGGUGAUGGCGGCCUUGACUUUGCACUGGACCAUUGGCUGAGUGAGUUCACGUGAAGAGGACGUUGGGAAAGGCCCCGGCCUCGGCAAGCUGCUCGUGUGCGCGCGCCUUGAUUGGACGACAAUGGCCGGCUCGUCCGGUCCCGGUCCGGCUGUGGUGGAGAGCGACAUGUGCGGAGGGGCCGCUUGAGGUUGCGGGGCGAAGGUCACGGUUGUCGCCGGGUUCAGAUUUGUCGUGUGGCCGCUUUGCCAGCUUCGGUGAUUCUCUGCCCUCGGAUUUCUUUUUGCCGUCCGGUGGUCGACACCUUGCCAGGCGAGGGCACACCUGUGAACUGGUUGGUGGCCUUGUGUCAAACCUGCACUUGAAAUGCACGGCUGGUGCUGGACUUUGGGUUGGUUCGCAUUGAUCACAUCUAAUUUAGGGAUAAUUUUGUUUUUUGUCGCUAAGCCUUUGUAUCAUUGCAUGAUUUCUAAAACAAAACUUCUGUAUUUUUUUUACUAGUGAUAGCAACAACUAUUUUUCUCUUGUUA